GGAGGUUUGGCACCUCGAUGUCGGCUCAUCGCAUCCUGGGGCUGUAGUCGGUCCCAAGGGUUGGGCUGUUCGCCCAUUAAAGCGGUACGCGAGCUGGGUUCAGAACGUCGUGAGACAGUUCGGUCCCUAUCCGUCGUGGGCGUAGGAAAUUUGAGAGGAGCUGUCCUUAGUACGAGAGGACCGGGAUGGACGCACCGCUGGUGUACCAGUUGUUCUGCCAAGGGCAUAGCUGGGUAGCUAUGUGCGGAAGGGAUAAGUGCUGAAAGCAUCUAAGCAUGAAGCCCCCCUCAAGAUGAGAUUUCCCAUAGCGUAAGCUAGUAAGAUCCCUGAAAGAUGAUCAGGUUGAUAGGUUCGAGGUGGAAGCAUGGUGACAUGUGGAGCUGACGAAUACUAAUAGAUCGAGGACUUAACCAUAUAA
rnacentral:rRNA from 1 species